CAAUGUGCAUUACUUUGCACUUAUCAACAUUGAAUUUCAUCUGCCAUUUUGUUGUCUGGUCACCCAGUUUUGUGAGAUCUCUUUGUAAGUCUUCACAGUCAGCUUUGGACUUACCUAUCUUGGGUAAUAUUUUAUCAUCAGGAAAUUUUCCACCUCACUGGUCACACCCUUUGCAGAUCAUUUAUGAAUAUCUUGAAUAGUACAGGUUUCAGAGUAGCAGCCGUGUUAGUCUGUAUUCGCAAAA